rnacentral:rRNA from 1 species
GAUGAACGCUGGCGGCGUGCCUAAUACAUGCAAGUCGAGCGAACAGACGAGGAGCUUGCUCCUCUGACGUUAGCGGCGGACGGGUGAGUAACACGUGGAGAACCUACCUAUAAGACUGGGAUAACUUCGGGAAACCGGAGCUAAUACCGGAUAACAUGUUGAACCGCAUGGUUCAACAGUGAAAGACGCUCUUGCUGUCCCUUAUAGAUAGCUCCGGGCCGCAUUAGCUAGUUGGUAAGGUAAGGGCUUACCAAGGCAACGAUGCGUAGCCGACCUGAGAGGGUGAUCGGCCACACUGGAACUGAGACACGGUCCAGCCUCCUACGGGAGGCAGCAGUAGGGAAUCUUCCGCAAGGGGCGAAAGCCUGACGGAGCAACGCCGCGUGAGUGAAGAAGGUCUUCGGUUCGUAAAACUCUGUUAUUAGGGAAGAACAAAUGUGUAAGUAACUAUGCACGUCUUGACGGUACCUAAUCAGAAAGCCACGGCUAACUACGUG